rnacentral:tRNA from 1 species
GGGGCUGUAGCUCAGUGGCAGAGCAUUUGCCUAGCACAUGCAGAGUCUCUGGGUUUGAAUCCCAGCACCA